rnacentral:lncRNA from 1 species
GGUACUGGUUAGUUCAUAAUGUUGUUCCACCGAUAGGGUUGCAGAUCUCUUUAGCUCCUUGGAUACUUUCUCUAGCUCCUCCAUUGGGGGCUUGGGGUAGCUGAGGUUCUUGGACCAUUGCUUCAAUUAACAAUGACUACAUAGAUUUCAAUCCUGAAAAAGUUCUUUUAUUAUUUAAUUGUGAAAGUAGGGAUUCUCAUAUUUUGAACAGAAAACAAUUGAAAUAAGUUUAUAAUUUUACAUUCCGAAGCCCAUGAAAGCUGUCAUCUGACCAAUUACCAAGAUACUCAUAAUACAUCUGUUUUAUUUUAUUUUUACUUUUCCAGGGCAAAUUUGUGAUGGUUUGAAUAAAAACAGACUUCAUAGGCUCAUAGUGAAUGGUGCUAUUAGGAGGUGUGGCCUUCUUGGGGUAGGUGAGGCCUUGUUGGAGGAAGGGUAGCACUGAUUGUGGAAUUUGAUUGAGGUUUCAGAUGUUCCAGCCAGUUCCAGUGUUGCUCUUCCUAUGAUCUGCUGACAUAGAUGUGAUGGCGAACUCUCAGCUACUUCUCUAGCACCAUGUCUUCCUCCAUGCUACCAUGCUUGUGCCAUGACAUUCAUGGACUAGACAUCUGAUCUGUAAGCCAUCCCGAUUUUAUGUUUUUCUUUUCCUUUUUGAAAAUUAAUUAAUCAAUUGUUUUAUACUUCAUACUUUUUUCAUCCAUCCUCUGACUGAUCCACAUCCCAUACCUCCUCCCCACCCCCUGUCUCCAAGUGGAUGUCCCCACUCCCAACCCCACCUGACCUCUAAACUCCCUGGGGCCUCCAGUCUCAGGGCUAGGUGCAUCUAUGAUCAUGUUGUUUAUUUACAUCAUUAAAAAAACUAGUAUAAAUAUGCUUAGGAUUCUUUGUAAAUGUAGUAAUGUCUUUAGCAAUCAACUUAAUUUUAUCUGACUCAGUUUUGCUUACACAACUUUUUUUUUUGGAAGAUUAUAAAUUCAUUAUUUUUAUGUUCUAAUAUUUGCUCCGGAGUCUCUAAAUCAAGAUCAGAGCAGUCAGUAUUAAUCAUUAUACAACCUGAAUUCUAUCUAGCUUUGAAAUUUCUUCCAAACUAUAGAAAGAGCUUUAAAAUUCAGCUUCAUGCAAAGCCUCAGUGAAUAGGCAAAAUAGGGAUGCUUUGCCAGUAGAAAACACAGAUGUACUCUAGUGCUAUUUUUACCUUAAGACUCAUUGCCACAUAAAACCUUAUGAGCAGUUUUAACAAUUUGCAGGUAUGUUACCUUUGACCCUACUGGAAUUUUCCACUGUUCCCUACUUACUGUAUACUAAGGCCUCUCUAGGUAGAUUUUGGAAUCUUUCCCUAAAUUCUAGCCAUAAACAAGGUUUUAGAGUUAUAUGGCCAGCUUUAUUUAUAGCAAUAACCAUACUUUUAGUUCUAAUAUUGAUAUAUUUUUUAUCUCUGGUUACUUUGCUCAAAAUACCCUACAAAGGAAAUGCGCGGAGAGAUCUAGCUUCAAUGGGUGGUCACAUGUGUGGUUAUCUAGCUCCAUGUGCUUGGAAAGAAUAUAUAAAUUUGGUAUUGUGUGGAAAAGAAACACCUUUUUUGUGAUAAAUAGGAAGGAGAUAAGAAAAAUGGGGACACAUGUGAUAUUCAAAGCCAAACACUAAGCGAUUUAUUCCUUCUAAAUAGUCCUUCCCUAGAAGAGUUUCCAUUACUUGUCAGAAAACACCACCAGCUGUAAAACAGGCAAAUUCCUGGAAGGUUCUUUUCCUAUGCAAAGUAUUUUAUCUUUUAAAGACCCAUGUUUCUGUGAACUUUAUCUACAUAACUCAUUACUAUUAAUGCCUUAUGCCUAAAAUUUCUUAAAAGCCUUACUAUCUUGCAAUGUAUUGGUAUUUUUCCUAUAAAACUUACAUGGAUUACCUCCCCUCACUAACACUAAUAUCUUAGAAAAUAAUUUCAAUAGAUUUAUCCUCAGUAUUCAUAAAAAUCCAAAAUAACUGUUCUUUCCUCUCAUUAUAAAUUCCAUAUGACUGAGUAGAAUGGUCACAUUAUCAAUUUAGAUAUUUCUCUGAUAGUAUACCAAUCAAUGUUUCACACAUUUAAAAAUGGCUCACUGAAAUUAGAAACAUGGAUGUGUACCUGUGAUGGUUUGUAUAUCCUUGGACCAAGGAGUGGCACCAUCUGAAGGUGUGACCCGGUUGGAAUGGGUGUGUCACUGUGGGUGUGUGUAUAAGAUCCUCACCCUAGUUGCCUGGAAGUCAGUCUUCCACUAGCAGCCUUUGGAUGAAGACAGAACUCUUACUCCUCCUGCACCAUGCCUGCCUGGAUACUGCCAUGCUCCCACCUUGAUGAUAAUGGACUGAAACUCUGAACCUGUAAGCCAGCCCCAAUUAAAUGUUGGUUUUUUUUAUAAGACUUGCCUUGGUCAUGGUGUCUGUUUACAGCAGUAAAACCCUGACUAAUACAGUACCCUAAGCUUUUUUGCUUAACUCCAAGUUUUAAUAAACUUAUAUUAUUGGCAGCUUAAAUUAAUCUAGAAAAAUAAGUUUUCUGAUUAGGCUAAAGCAGAGCUGUAGGAAUUGUAUCAUUAAUGGUAUAGCCUCCAAAAUGAAAUCUACAGUGGCUGUAUACAGAUAAAAGUCCAGGAUAUAACACUCAUACUGGUGGUAACCAGGGUGGGGGGGGGUGGAGAAUCUUAAAGAUUAGACUUAGAUGAUAGCAUCACCAAUGGUCAAUACAAGGUAAGGAAUUCUUUCUAAUGCUGAAGCCAGAGAGAUGACAUCUCUGAUGAUCAGGCCAGGAUUAUACCAACUGUAACACUGGGAAACAACAAUGGCUCUGUCUCUGAUAGAUUCCAGUGAUGAAAUAUCUGAUGGUGAAAGUGAUGGCAUCACUUAAAUAUUGGUGAUGGCAUCCAAAAUAGAGGGGUACAUGUUAGAGCAUCUCUGUCAGUGACUCAUGUGAUGGAUUGUGUAAUUACAGGCCUGGGUGACGGUGUCUGCAUUGGCUGAGCAUAGGCAACAGUAACAUGAAUAACAAGUUCCAGGCCACUUAAUGUCCUUUCCAACUAUGCAGGCAAGGUGAUGGAUGGUAAUAAUGGUGUUGAUAGAUUUUCAAACUGUAGGUAUAUUUUAUUAGUGAGACUCAGGUGGUGGCAUCAAUAAUAAAAAGUUCAAAGUAGCAGCAUUUCAGAUGGUGACAACAGAGUGAUGGCAGACCUGAAUAUGAGACACAAGCUUUGAUAUUUCAAUAACAGUUCUUUCCAGUACAUGAUAUAUCCAUUGUAUUCAGACAAUAGUGUAUUUACUGGAAAAAAACACAAACAAACAGGUAAUAACAGUUGAGAAGGGCAUCUUUAGAAGCGAAGUCCCCAAAAUGACAACUACAGUGGCUAUGUAGAUAUUAUGGUGUCUAGACAAUUAGACCUAGGAAUUUCUAAUGUUAUCUUCAAGAAAAUAAAACUGGUAAUAAUUGGUAUAGGAUUUUGCAUUUCUAAUGAGUGAAAUCAUAGGAAUUGGCAGCUUCAUUUGUGUUAUCGAGACAAAAUUAUUUCUAAUGUUGUGGUGCAAUAGAUACCCUUUUCAAUGUUUGGGAUUACUUGAUUGCUGGUCUAAUGAUGAAGCUAAGAUAAUGUAAUGACUAAUGCAUAGACUCAAUUGAUGACAUCUUUACUUGUAUCUCUCAUGAGGUUUUGUUUACAGAGUUGAAAUCCAGU